rnacentral:lncRNA from 1 species
AAAAAUCUAAACCUGUCUACAAAACUUACAAUCAUCAAUAAAUAUUCAAACCACCAAAACAACCAUCAUUCCAUACCCAAAAUUAUCAUAACCAUGUAUAAUUAGUUAACUUUACAAAUGACGGAACACAAAAAAUAUACACAUGCAGAAAAUAGAGAAACAACUUCGUAUUCUUUACAGCUUACACCAAGUAUCUUUCAAUGUAUACCUGAAAAUACCUGAAAAUAUAUGAUCAUAUAUCUUACAGAGUUUGAUUGAUGAAAACUUAUAAUGAAAGUGGAAAUAUACCACAUGCCAAAAAAAUUUCUGACAUUUUCAGAAAUGUAUAAGCAUGGCUUCACCCUAGGGCAAAAGUUACAUCAACGAAGUAGUGAAUCUAACCUUAUCAAGGAUAAUUUAUAGUAUACUAUGCAGACGAAUUAACAUACUUUCACAGUGUGCAACUGUUGCAUUCCGUCUCAUCCGACCACUACAACUAUGUAAUUCUGCAUAGCAAAACAACAAUCAACAUAUAUAAUCAUAUACAAUUUAGUUUAUUUAAUGCAAACCUUAAAGUUCAAAAAAAAUUUUAACAAAUAGUACUUGUGACAAAAAAAAAAUAAACAGAAAAAGUAUAUCGAAGCAUAUCGAAGAGUAAAAGUAGAAUCAAUGCAGUUGUCUACGGCUUGAACAAUACCUAUAGCGAAAACAAUGCAGUUCUCUAUUCUUCAUCUGAGUUACAAAGCGGUACCUUCCUCGAUGCAACCCUACUAACAAGAUACAAACUAUGACCAUAAAGCUUAUCACCUGCCAAAAAAAUCUGAGCACUGUACUUCAAAUACGGAGAGUUGAAACACUCGGCCUUAUCAUUAGCACCUGUCAUUCACAAAUCCCAAACAAAAAAAAGAAUUUUUUGUUAAUGUGUAGAAAUCUUAAGUUUUCUCUUAUUGGAUACAAAAAUUCUAAGUUAUCUCUUAUUUGAUACAAAAAUCAUUGAGAGCAGUCGUAGUAUAAUAAAACUUCAUUACAUUUCCACUAUUCUUACAAAGCACAAAUUGCAGUAUUUUGUUUAUACCCAUAUUCCACUAUUCUUACAAAGCACAAAUUACAUUUCCACUAUUCUUACAAAGCACAAAUUGCAACUGUUAAGAAGCUGGAAGUACAGGAGUGCAGGCGAAAAAGAAUUAUUUUAAUCACUAAUUGUAGAAUUCCAAUCACAUAGCUCUCAGCCCAAGAGACAUAACUGAUUGUAGGAGCUCAUCAUAGUAUAUUUUAAAAAAAAGUACGCUAGAAAACCUCAAUGUGUAUUAUUUUUUCACCUCAUUGAACUCUUCUUUCCUACAUCCAAAGUUUAAAAUAUAAGUUCAGGAAUCAAGAAACCGGAUCACGGACACCCUUUUUCUAAAAUAUUAUUAAUGGCAAUCCUACUGCUCCCUGGGCCUUAAAUAAAUAAUUCAGGUUAUUCAGGAGUGAGCUAUAAGAAUUUCCCUUACUAAACACAAAUAACAGUGGGUAAUACGCUAAGAUAACACUUUUAAGAAUUUAAACAGUUAGCCAAUGGAGGAACCGACUCUAAUAAUGCUCUUAGAAAAUAGUACCUUGUAAGCAUAUUGAGGAGCGAUCAAACACUAGCAAGUUGCUUAUAGGCUGUAGCAUUCUGUUCACUUAGAUAAGUUCCCAACUGCCCAGUCGCUGCCAAUCUAAGACCUAUAAAACUGCAAUACAAAUGUUAAAAAGAACCAUGAGAAGCUCACUCAAGAAAGCUUAUGCAUGAAAAAUGUCCAAAGAAAUUCAAAUGACAUCACAAGGAAAAUUAAUCAGCCAAUCAUGAAAUUGAAAUAUAUUGUUCUCCCUUAGUUCAAAAAAUGCGAGUCCCUCAGCCCUUUAGUAUUAAAGGCUCGUUAGGCUCUCAUGUAAUUCGAGUGCCCCAGUGUAUUGAGAGUUUCAAGCAAUUGCUCAAGUAAACGUCAAGUGUUAAGAGUGUAUAUAUUCAAACUUAAGGGAAAGCGAUUUGUUGAAGUUCGGAUUUACAUGCUAAGGAAGAGAUUUUUUAAGAUAGCGUUUGUUGAUACGGUGUUUGACAGUUUGAGUGUCAAGAGCAAAUCAAUGAUAUUUUAUUUAUUAUUUAUUUGGAGUUCUUAUUAUGUGUAAUGUAAGAGUAAUUGAUGUAUUUACUCCCUCCGUCUCGAAAUAAACGUUCUAAUUGGUUUCGGCAAACUGAUUAAUAGAUUUUUCUUUUACCUAAAUUAUCCUUUUGAUUACUUUUUAAUUAAAGUAUUUCUCUAAUUUUAUAUGACCUCAUCAAUUACUCGUUCCCACGUGAAUCAAUUCUCUUUUUGGUAUUCUCACAUUGCCAAUAAGUACAAUAAAUAGAAAGAGAGUUUAGAAAGCUAUUAAAUGAAAAGAAAUUUUAUACUGAAAGUUGUACAACAGUACACCACUUUCCAGUGUAAUCUUUUUCGCAAUUUUUCAGUUUCCAAUAAAAGUUGAGUACAAAGAUUAUGAGUGUAUAAGAGGAGAAAUAGAAUAAAAAUAGUUACUAAUAUAGAAAUAGGACAUUUAUUUUGAUAUAUCUUAAAAAGGAAAUUAAGACAUUUAAUACUGAACAGAGGAAAUAUUUAUUGGUUGGGAUGUAGGACGUUUAGUAGUGAAUAGGAUUUUAAUGUUUAAUACGGGUAUAUUAGUCCUUUACUUCUUUUAUUGUUUCCCAAAUAAUAUUAGGAUUUUGAGUCUCUAUAAAUAUUGAUGUAAUCUUCAUAAGUUAAUAAAACUACUGAUUAGAUUAUUGAUAUUUAGCUAUGACCUAUUUUAUCUUUUUUGCAGUUGAGAAAACCUUGGGGUAGGGGUGUGCGAAACAUCACCCAAGUAAAAGAGUUUUUGGGUAGUGAGGUGCAGAGCCUCACCCAAGUUAAUUUCCUAUUGAUUUCUCAAUUAUUUUCAAUAAUUCUUUUUCUUCAAAUCUUGUCCUGUAUCGACCUUCAUCAGACUUCCUUACAAUUUCUAUGGACAAAUAUUACCCAAGAGUAGAAGUCUAAACCGCUGGUUCUCACUUACUAUUAGUUACAGAUAAAAUAUGCUCCACAAAUCACCACAAUGUCUUUUGCUUUUCGGCAUUGUCAUGUAUCCACAAUCAUAAUGAAGUUGGUUGCUAUUAAGAAUGCCUAGUUGGCAGCCUUGUCUCUGCUAACUUUGCUCUCAUUCUGCUCUGUCAAGGUGGUUAUUUUGUAUUUCAAGUUCAAUUUUUUGAAUGUUGGUAGUUAUUAUAUCAUGUUUGCAACUGCACAUUUCAUCGUAUAGGAAAUAAGGGAAGUUAUAUAAUUGGGUCAAACCAAGUCCGGCAAACUAAAUUGUGCACAAUCACAUGGUCGUUUUGAUUUUUGGCCUAGGUAGCAUCUUGAUGAGCAUUGACACCAUUCUGUUUGUGUUACUAUGUGAUUGAAACAUUGGUCACUUUCAUGCCUAGAUCCUUUCCUCUUAUUUUCUAGAAAUCGUGAUGAAAAAUAUAUAAAAAACACAUAAGGCAGAGGAUAUCAAAUAAAACUCCCUUCCCAGGGGCCGUGGGGUGUCUUGUUGCUUGUACUUGGUUGUUCUGUUUAAUUAAAUGUUUUUAGAGCUGAAUUUUAAUUCUUUAUGGUGACAAAGCAACGGUUUUUCUGUAUUUAUAAGUAUAUUAUGUAAUCUGAUGCAAAUUAUGAAGUUGAAGUGUUUCUACAUUUUAAAUUUGGAUAGUUAUUGAUCUUUUGUUUGUUGUUUGUUAAUAGUCUCAGGCGAUUAUGGUCCAUCCUUGUAUGAUACACUGACUGAUGGAUCCUGAAAGCAAGAAGUUUGGAAGAGGUUAGACCUUUUUAGUAGUAUUUGCUCAGCUUUGUACUCUCUUAUUUUUGUAUUGCAUAUGGAUGCUUACAGCUAUAUGAUUUUGCCAAUUGGUGCACUUUAUGGCUCUAUGCUUUCUCCUUGGUAAUAUUGAUGACGAAGAAGUUGGGAUGAGUUUAGUGAAGUUCUGUAAUAUCUGUUUGGCUGAAUAAUCGUGAUAUUGCUAGCACAUUCAUCUAGUAACAAGUAUCAUUUAGUCAACUUGAUUAACCUCCUUUCUCGGGGAAUGAUGCUCAUAUUUGACUUGUGAUUUUGAUUUUAGCUAAUUUAAGCUGCUUAAGACAAAUAUGAUCCAUGGUCCUGUGCUGUUUUAAAUUAACUGUCAAUGUUUUAUUAAUAAGAGAACAAAGGAAAGUUUCACCAAGUCAAUUUUCUUUUCCUUGCAAAUCUUACCAUUUUGGUUAGGAAAAUUAUUAAGGAAAGUUGGACCAAAUUUCCUUGUUUCCUUUACCUUUCUCAACUUAAAAAUAUUACCAACAUGGAAUUAAUUUCCUAAGUUUUAAAAACUCAAAACCAAGGUGUAAGGAAAAGGGUAAAAAAGGACAAAUGGGACUCUCACAGUCUCACUAUAUAAAAGUGGAGUCGUAUUUCUAGGAACUUAUUUUUCAAUGAAAAACCAAGUUCCAACAGAAUUUCAUACUAAAAUUUUUGAAGAUAAGAACUUUAAAAUCACGUAACAUUCAAACUAAAGAGUAUGAAUAUGAAUCAUUCAAAUAGAAGUAAUUAAAUAUAUAAUUAAAUAUAGACUAUUCGUAUAUUUGUGUAAUUAGAGGUAGAACACACAAAUAUCUGAAUUUAAAUUUUUGGGACCUAAGAGUAUCACGAGUAUGAUGUUUUGGAAGCAAAUACCAAAAAAUACCAAAACACCGAUACCAAACACAGUUAGCUAGGUAAAUAGUAAAUACGAUAAAAGUAUACCAUUUAUUUCAUCAUAGACAUGUUGCAACAACAUUAUGGCACAAUUCAGAUUUAAAUUUACUAAACACCUAUAAAUCUUUGUCAAUUAAAUCUAUCAAAAGGGUGAGCAAUAUCACAUGACUUAGGCUACAAAAUUCUAGCAGCCUUUUUAUAAUAAAUUCUAGCAACAUUUAGCUGAUAAUACUGAAAAUAAGAAAAAAUGAAAUCGCAAAUUAUAAUACCUAGAAGAAGAAGAGCACUCAGUCUCUCAGUAUUCCUCAUCUCCUUCUCGUUGUAUAACAUUUGUUGUCGCAGUAGUGGCACUUGUGUCUGCGUAUUACAUAAAACAAACACCGUAAAUCUGCAUACUUACAAAAAAAAGUUACAGUCAUAACUCAUACGUGUAUAUAUAGCUAGAUAUAGAGGGAGAAACAAGGAGGAUUUGAAUCUGACCUCAAUCUCUAGCAGGGAACAAAUUUAGAUAAUCAAAAUCAAAAAAUAACAUCAAUUUAGGAUAUUGAGUGAUGAUUGAAGUAAUUACAAAUUCGUCGCAAUCGAUUUCUAGGCUGAUGAUUUAUUACACUCAAGUAAUAGAUAGAUUACCAUACUCACUCCCGCUAAUUCUCAUAAAUUAGUCCAAAUUCCAUCAGUUUAACAAUACAUAUGAUGGCGUAUUCAUUUCUUCAGGGGUAGAGAACUGGCGUCGACCAUCGAAGAAGAAAAAAAAUCUGCCAAUUUCAAUUGCUUCUCUGUAUAUAUUAUUAAGCAACAGAAGAAGAAGAAGAAAAGGAAAAAGCCCUAAAAGAGCAACAGAAGAAAAGGAAAAAGCCUUAAACCCCUAAGAGAGUUGAAGAUGGUUCCGUAGCCUGGAAAUUGAAAGUCAGGUUCGAAAUUGACUACAAAAUGUAUUGAAAAGGAUAUAUGUAUAAAUUGAUUGAGUAAAACUGAAACAUAAGUUAUAUAUCCAAUAAGAAUUCUACACAACUGGAGAAAUAGAUAAUAAGCAUAUUAUAGCUCAGCCAACAUAGAGAAGUUUACUAUGUUAACUGCGAUGAUCAAGCUUCUCAAAUUUGUUCUUCACACAAACACACACAUGUAUAUAUGUAUGUGCGGUCCGGAUCUUAAGCUCACCCUUUAUUUAGCUUACCUAGCUCACCCCCCUUUAGCGACGGAUCGGAAGACAAUUUGGUCCGUCGCUAUAUGUUUGGUCCGUCGCUAUAUGUUGUCCGUCGCUAAAAGUUAAGACGACGAUUCUACAUAUAGCGACGAACCGAAUUGUCGCCCGAUCCGUCGUUAAAGGAGGGUGAGCUAGAUGAGCUAAAUAAGGGGUGAGCUUAAGAUCCGGACCGUAUGUAUGUGUGUGUUUCUGAGCCCUACCUCCGCCCUUGUACUUUACAGACCCGAUAUGCGAACUAUGAAAUUAUUUGGUAAAUAACGGUGGUAUGAUUAUAUUUGGCAAAUAGCAUUUUUAUCCCACUGUGGUGGUAGUAUUUUAAGUAAUUAGUCACUGUACUUUUAAAAUAUUCAAUUAACCCACUGUACUUUUUAAAAAUAUUCAAUCAGACUAUUCUGUCCAAUUUCUUGGACGGACGUCAAAUAAUUACAUGUGACAUUGAAAAAAAAAUCAAAAAAAUAUUAUUUUCUGAUGUGGCAACACAAAAAAAAUAAUAAAAUAAAAUCAAUACUUAUGUGGCAAAAAAUAAUUAAAAUAAUAAUAAAUUAAAAUAAAAUAAAAACCCAAACUUCAUACGCAUGCGAAAUAACUUCAUACACGGGCUGUUUGACGACCAUGGCUGCUGGAGAUCGGAUUUGGAAGGUAUGAGCACUAUUUCUUCAAGAUUUGGAAGGUAUGAGCACUAUUUCUCAGACAGUGUCAUAGUUUGGAUAGGCUAUUCACCAGGUCGGAAGUAGAAAUUGCUUUAUCUCAUAUUGUUCCCUCCAAAGCUCCGGAACCCGAUGGGUUUCCCCUGGAUUUUUGUUGGGAUUUGUGGAGGAGAUAGUGAGAUUGAGCUUUGUGGUGAGCCGGGAGAGUCGUCGGCGGCAGUGAUUGAGCUUUGUUUUCUGCAUAUUUCUUAUGUUUGUUUAGGGAAGAAGAUGAACAGUAGAAUUAAUAAUGUUUUAUUUAUUUAUGUUUGUAAUUUGUAUUAUUUCUUUUUUGUCUAAAAAUUUUAAAAAAAAAAUUGGUCUUUUACUGUCAAAUAUAAAGUCAACAUGUAUUGUACAUGACAAAAUUGUAUUUUUAUUUAUUAUUUUAUUUUAGGCUUAUUUAUUCAUUUUGAAGGAGAAGGAAAAUAGGAAAUGAAAAACUUAUUAAAAAAUAAAUUAAAAUAUUUAUUUUAAUUUUAUUAUUAUUUUAAUUAUUUUUUGUCACAUAAUCAAUGAUUGAUUAUUUGUAUUAUUUAGAAUUAAAAUAAUUAAAAGAAAGGAAAAGAGAUAAAGGAAAAGAAUAAAUUAUAAAAAAAUAAUGUGGUUUUGAUUGUAUAAAUAAUUUUAAUUUUUAUGUCAUUUGUUUAACUAAUUUUUGCUAAUUGUAUCAAAUUUCCUAUUUUAUGUUAAUUAUGUACUUACCUUUUUUAUAUCAUUAAAAUAUAUAUUAGUAUUAAUUUUAAAAUAAAAAUAAUUAUUAAAAGAAAGGAAAAGAGAUAAGGAAAAGAAUACAAAUAAAGAAAAUGAAUUAAAAAAUUAUUUUGUUGCCACAUAAGACUCUGCCAAAUUUUUUAUUUUAAUUUGGGUUUUCUAUUUGUAUUUAUACAUAUUAUUAAUAUUUAGGUAAAGAAAAAGAAAGAAAAUAAAACAUAAAAAUAUAUUUAUUUUUAAAAAUUUUAUAAGUAUUUUAAAACAUAAAAGUAUUUUUAUUUUUAUUUUUAAAAUAAAACAUACAUAUUAUAAAUAUUUUUAUAUUAAUUUUUAUUAAUAUUAUACAUGUUAUAAAUAUUUAGGUAAAGAAAAAGAAAGAAAAUAAAACAUAAAAAUAUUUUUAUUUUUAAAAAUUUUAUAAGUAUUUUUAUUUUUAUUUUUAAAAUAAAACAUACAUAUUAUAAAUAUUUUUAUAUUAAUUUUUAUUAAUAUUAUAUAUGUUAUAAAUAUUUAGGUAAAGAAAAAGAAAGAAAAUAAAGCAUAAAAAUAUUUUAAAAACCACAGUGGGCCAAUUGCAUUUUUUUUAAAGUGCAGUAGCUCAAUCGUAUUAAGAAUUUGGCUGAUUGUCUUGCCACGUAGGAAAUAACUUAUUUUUAUUUUUUUUUCAAAAACCACGUAGAAAAAUUGGCGCAAUUUUUUAACGUCUUGGACGGAAUGGGUUGAUUGGACAUUUUUAAAAAGUACAAUGGGCUAAUUGAAUAUUUUAAAAGCACAGUAACUAAUUGCUUAAAAUACUACAACUACAGUGGUUAAAGUGUUUUUUGCCGAUUAUAUUUGAAUGUCAUUUCUACCAUCUUGGCCCUUAGAUCCCUCUUUUAACUGUUAAAAACUUUCUGAUGGUUCCAUACCAUUAGAUCUCUAUUUUAGCUAUUAAAAACUUUCUUAUGGUUUUUAUAUGUUUAAUUAUUCCCAUGCUUUAUUGUAAGCCCGUAAUCUUUGGUUGCAUAUGCUUGUGUUCUCUCCCUUGUGUGGGCACUAAUAUUCCUUUAUUAGAUGCUGUUACUGUCCUAUUCAAAACAUGAGUACGAAAAUUCCAGAAAAAAGAAAUGAAUUUAAAAAAAUUAAUUAGAAAGAACAUCCAUAUAAGAAUUCAACAACUGAGUACCAGUAGAAACAUCUAUAAAACAUACAGGAACAGUAAAUCUGUCAUACCCCAAAAUAAUUUUUUUUUUAAAAAAAGACAUAAUCAGAUAAACACACAUAAUAUCCAAAGCAUCAACCACCAGAGGGAAAAAAAUAGAACAAAUACAAAGACUAAAAUAGAAGAAAUUAAAACCUUAAGUCCAGAAUUGCACAGACCUGUCCAGUAGCCACAAUAACACACACAAUAACAGUAGCUAUUAGACAAUAAUUUUUGCAGACAAUACCAGGUGAAACUUUGGAAGGGUAAGCUUGUAUGAAAGAACAACAAACUACUUGAUUUUUUUUUAUGAACAUUACGACAUAAUCUUUGUUAAACUUUGUGGAUAUCAGUAGGGUAGUUACUAACAUGAAUAUGCUUGCAGACACUCUUCGUCAUAUAUAUUUGAAAACUUACCAUUUUGACCAAUGAUAAACUAAGGAGGCUGGAGGUCUACCAAAUGAUUUUCUUCUUAAUCCUUGGUAGGUUUGGGCAGCUGGAUUUGCUGCUGCCUUGCUGAAAAAACGUAGCUCUGCGAUAUAUCCUUCAGUUGAGGCUGGGGAAGGAAAUGGAUUAGAAAGUAGAAUGCCCCUGUCAAAUAUGGGACGAAAGGAACCUCUGUUGGUUGAGGUCUUCCUUCUGUCACUAUUGGAGAAGCUCUUCUCACUUCUUCUCAACUUGCCUGAUUUAAAUCAGUAAGGCUUUCCAUACAUCUCCUUUUCUAAUUUCAAGAUGGUAAAAAUAUCUAAUUGUAAUUCCAACUUCCAAUAAAUGCCUUCUAUUAAGCUGUUUGUGAAGCGAAUCACGGGUAACAGUAUUUCUUAUGUUUUACAAGAGGUUGACGAAGAUCAUCUCUG